GUCUACAGCCAUACCACCCUGAAUGCGCCCGAUCUCGUAUGAUCUCGGAAGCUAAGCAGGGUCGGGCCUGGUUAGUACUUGGAUGGGAGAAGCCUGAUAGGGCA
rnacentral:rRNA from 1 species